rnacentral:rRNA from 1 species
UACGUAGGGUCCGAGCGUUGUCCGGAAUUACUGGGCGUAAAGAGCUCGUAGGCGGUUUGUCGCGUUGUUCGUGAAAACUCACAGCUUAACUGUGGGCGUGCGGGCGAUACGGGCAGACUAGAGUACUGCAGGGGAGACUGGAAUUCCUGGUGUAGCGGUGGAAUGCGCAGAUAUCAGGAGGAACACCGGUGGCGAAGGCGGGGCUCUGGGCAGUAACUGACGCUGAGGAGCGAAAGCGUGGGGAGCGAACAGG